UCCUCGGUAGCAUAGUGGUCAGUAUUCUCGCCUGUCACGCGUGAGUCCGGGUUUCGAUUCCCCGCCGGGAAG
rnacentral:tRNA from 1 species